rnacentral:rRNA from 1 species
GACGAACGCUGGCGGCGUGCUUAACACAUGCAAGUCGAACGGAAAGGCCCUGCUUUUGUGGGGUGCUCGAGUGGCGAACGGGUGAGUAACACGUGAGUAACCUGCCCUUGACUUUGGGAUAACUUCAGGAAACUGGGGCUAAUACCGGAUAGGAGCUCCUGCUGCAUGGUGGGGGUUGGAAAGUUCCGGCGGUUGGGGAUGGACUCGCGGCUUAUCAGCUUGUUGGUGGGGUAGUGGCUUACCAAGGCUUUGACGGGUAGCCGGCCUGAGAGGGUGACCGGCCACAUUGGGACUGAGAGACGGCCCAGACUGCUACGGGAGGCAGCAGUGGGGAAUAUUGCACAAUGGGCGGAAGCCUGAUGCAGCGACGCCGCGUGCGGGAUGACGGCCUUCGGGUUGUAAACCGCUUUCGCCUGUGACGAAGCGUGAGUGACGGUAAUGGGUAAAGAAGCACCGGCUAACUACGUG